rnacentral:rRNA from 1 species
UUUAUUGGAGAGUUUGAUCCUGGCUCAGGAUGAACGCUGGCGGCGUGCCUAAUACAUGCAAGUCGAGCGAAUGGAUUGAGAGCUUGCUCUCAAGAAGUUAGCGGCGGACGGGUGAGUAACACGUGGGUAACCUGCCCAUAAGACUGGGAUAACUCCGGGAAACCGGGGCUAAUACCGGAUAACAUUUUGAACUGCAUGGUUCGAAAUUGAAAGGCGGCUUCGGCUGUCACUUAUGGAUGGACCCGCGUCGCAUUAGCUAGUUGGUGAGGUAACGGCUCACCAAGGCAACGAUGCGUAGCCGACCUGAGAGGGUGAUCGGCCACACUGGGACUGAGACACGGCCCAGACUCCUACGGGAGGCAGCAGUAGGGAAUCUUCCG